CUAGAAGGGAAGACUUAAUCCUCUUAGAGACAGGUUGAGAGUGAGGUGCCUUUGAGACUUUCAUUUGGAGAUGUGGAACAUUAUGGAUAUAUAUAUAUGGUAAUAGCCACCGAAUCCUUGAGAAAAGACAAGAGCACCUCAGAAGGGUGUAAAAUAGAAGAGGAGGGCCUGAGACAGAGCUUGGAAGAGUCCUGCAAAUAGAGGCUGAGUAAAGAAGGCAAAAUCACUCACAGACCCUGAGUAACAGAUUGGUGUUACGGAGCCCAAGAAACACCUGUGUCAAAGCUGCUGCUAUAGAAGGUCCGUGGGGUCAGUGCUGCUGAGAGGUCAAGUAAGAAGCAAACUGAAGAGUGCUGUCGUGUCAGCAGUGCUGGUGAGUGCAGUCGUCGUGGAACGCUAUUGAAAUGGGCCAGAAAUUACAAAACAGCAGGAAGCAGAGACUGAUCAAGAUCUUAAUGAAGAAAACCAAGGGUUGUCACUUGAGAAAUCUCUUGACCACAAGACUGAGUAUUGUAUGGCAGAGGCAUAUACACAUUAAAGACAUCUUAAUAAAGAUGCAAAGGAAAGCAAAACAACCCAAGACACAUCUUAGAAGAAGACAAAACGGCAGGCAACUGGUCAUUUGACCCUCUGAAGGCAAAAAAUAAACAUUUUUACAUGGAAAGAAUAAGUCAUGUUAAAGAAAGAAGGGAUGGAAUGGGGACCGUUGUGUUGAGAGAAGACGCUGACCUGCUCGAAUUCAAAGUGCUAGAAUUAAAGGUCUAAAACGAAAACGCCGAGGAUGCCUCCGAGCAGAACCCUGCGCGCGCCAGGGGCGCCUGCCUCAGUCCUCCUUGCGCUCCAGAGUCUGUGCCGCGUGGAUGCCGUUGCUGUAGACCGGGAAGGGCAGCGUGGAGAAGAGUCCCUCGGCCGUGGUGAACACGUUGCCCGCGGGCAUCUGCGUGAGGCUGGCCGCGCUCACCGCGCCGCCGAAAGGUCCUGACAUGUUGAGCCUGUGCACGUGGUGGUAGAGCAUCUCCAUGGGCGUCUUGGGGUCGAGGCCGAAGCCGGGGCUGUUAACGUCCACGAAGUUAACAGCGUGCGCAUUGGGUAGCAGGUUGCCCUGCAUGGCCAGGGUCACCUCGGCUGGCGCGUAGCGGAUGGUGCCCGUGGUGUAGACCCUCUGCGCGGCUGUGCUGGUGGCGGCCAGGGUGCCGGUCACCCGGUGCACCAGAGGGAGGAC
rnacentral:lncRNA from 1 species